GAUUUCAAGUAAAAAAGUCAUCAACAACAAAAUUGUAUAACUCAUCAAGAUCUAAAACUUUUAUUUUUGUCAUUUUUUCAUCCGACAAAGUGUUAAUAACAUUGUUCACAAAAUUUACAUAUUAUAAAACCAGAUAAGAGAUAUAUCAAUUUUUUGAGCAAUGUUACUAUCACUUUGUCGGAUAAUUUACAUAUUAUAAAACCAGAUAAGAGAUAUAUCAAUUUUGUGAGCAAUGUUACUAUCACUUUGUCGGAUGAAGAAAUGACCAAAAUAAAAGUUUUGGAUCUUGAUGAGAUAUUCAACUUUGUUGUUGAUAACUUUUUCAGUUGAAAUC
rnacentral:pre_miRNA from 1 species